rnacentral:rRNA from 1 species
CCUACGGGUGGCUGCAGUGGGGAAUUUUGGACAAUGGGCGAAAGCCUGAUCCCGCAAUGCCGCGUGAGUGAAGAAGGCCUUCGGGUUGUAAAGCUCUUUUGUUUGGGAAGAAAUCCCUAAGGAUAAUACCCUUGGGGGAUGACGGUACCAAAAGAAUAAGCACCGGCUAACUACGUGCCAGCAGCCGCGGUAAUACGUAGCGUGCAAGCGUUAAUCGGAAUUUGCGGAGGUAAAUUGUGCGCAGGGGGGUGAAAUCCCCGGGCUCAACUUGGGAACUGCACUUGUGACUGCAAGACUAGAGUGUGUCAGAGGGAGGUAGAAUUCCACGUGUAGCAGUGAAAUGCGUAGAUAUGUGGAGGAAUACCAGUGGCGAAGGCGGCCUCCUGGGAUAACACUGACGCUCAUGUACGAAAGCGUGGGGAGCAAACAGGAUUAGAUACCCCAGUAGUC